AACGAACGCUGGCGGCAUGCCUAACACAUGCAAGUCGAACGAGACCUUCGGGCCUAGUGGCGCACGGGUGCGUAACGCGUGGGAACCUGCCCUUAGGUUCGGAAUAACUCCCCGAAAGGGGUGCUAAUACCGGUUAAUGUCUUCGGACCAAAGAUUUAUCGCCUUUGGAUGGGCGCGGGUUGGAUUCGCUAGUUGGUAGGGUAAAAGCCUACCAAGGCGACGAUCCAUAGCUGGUCUGAGAGGAGGAUCAGCCACACUGGGAAUGAGACACGGCCCAGACUCCUACGGGAGGGAGCAGUGGAGAGUAUUAGAGGAUGGGCGAAAGCCUAAUCCAGCAGUGCCGCGUAAGUGAUGAAGGCCUUAGGGUUGUAAAGCUCUUUUACCCGGGAUGAUAGUGACAGUACCGGGAGAAUAAGCACCGGCUAACUCCGUG
rnacentral:rRNA from 1 species